UACGAAGGACCCGAGCGUUAUCCGGAUUUAUUGGGUUUAAAGGGUGCGUAGGCGGAUUAUUAAGUCAGUGGUGAAAGCCUUCAGCUUAACUGAAGAAUUGCCAUUGAUACUGAUGAUCUUGAGUAUGAUUGAGGUGGGCGGAAUGUGUCAUGUAGCGGUGAAAUGCUUAGAUAUGACACAGAACACCGAUUGCGAAGGCAGCUCACUAAGCCAUAACUGACGCUGAUGCACGAAAGCGUGGGGAGCAAACAGG
rnacentral:rRNA from 2 species